rnacentral:rRNA from 1 species
GAUUGAACGCUGGCGGCAUGCUUUACACAUGCAAGUCGAACGGUAACAGGCCGCAAGGUGCUGACGAGUGGCGAACGGGUGAGUAAUGCAUCGGAACGUGCCCAGUCGUGGGGGAUAACGCAGCGAAAGCUGUGCUAAUACCGCAUACGAUCUAUGGAUGAAAGCGGGGACCGAAAGGCCUCGCGCGAUUGGAGCGCCGAUGUCAGAUUAGCUAGUUGGUGGGGUAAAGCUCACCAAGGCGACGAUCCGUAACUGGUCUGAGAGGAUGAUCAGUCACACUGGAACUGAGACACGGUCAGACUCCUAGGGAGCAGCAGUGGGAAUAUUGGACAGU